rnacentral:lncRNA from 1 species
CCGCGUUUUUUAACUUCCGUGACUGCCAUCUUUUCUUCUUUCCUUGCCACCUUGUAGAUCUCCCUGUUCGCUCGCCGAUCAUCCUCGCUUGUGCUCCCUGCCAACCUAACGAACGCCGCCUUCUUCUCUUCCACUUUUCCUUUGACUAUAUCGUUCCACCACCAUUCGCCCUGAUAACUGCCUGAGUAUCCUUUGGCCACCCCGAGCACGUCCCGUGCUACCCCCCUAAUCUCCAACUGAAAUCGCAUAAAUAAUUAUCUAAACAUAAGAACCAUAAAUAAAUGACAUGCAAUAAUAUUAAUCAGUAAUUACCAUGAAUAAUACCAAACAAUAACUACCAUAACGGGGAACACGAUCCAAUACACAAAUCAUCUAUGGAUAGCUCUGCCGAGCCUCUCCAGCCCCGGAAAAGGAGUACGAAAAAUUCUAGGAGCCCCUAUCCUACCACCCUGAUACUAGACCUCCAGACUUUCCUAUCAAGGGCCAUGUCCUCGGAAAUCUGCAUUCUAGCCAUGUCAUGCCUAAUCACCUCUCCCCAAUACC